rnacentral:rRNA from 18 species
GAUCUCAGAUGAAGCGAGACUACCCCCUGAAUUUAAGCAUAUUAAUAAGGGGAGGAAAAGAAACUAACAAGGAUUCCCCUAGUAACGGCGAGUGAAGCGGGAAGAGCUCAAGGUGGGAAUCGCUUUCGGGCGAAUUGUAGUCUACUGAGGCUUGACCAUGCGGGCGCCCAGCUCAAGUCCCUUGGAAGAGGGCGUCAUGGAGGGUGACAACCCCGUCUGUGGCUGGGAUCAGCGCCCCGCUGUACGGUCUGCUCUCUAGGAGUCGAGUUGCUUGGGAUUGCAGCUCAAAGUGGGUGGUAAAUUCCAUCUAAAGCUAAAUAUGGGUGGGAGACCGAUAGCGAACAAGUACCGUGAGGGAAAGAUGAAAAGAACUUUGAAAAGAGAGUUAAAAAGUGCUUGAA